rnacentral:rRNA from 1 species
ACAACAUGUGAAAGCAUGCGACUCUUCGGAGGCGUUACACAGGUGCUGCAUGGCCGUCGUCAGCUCGUGUCGUGAGAUGUUUGGUUAAGUCCAGCAACGAGCGCAACCCCUGUUGCCAGUUACCAGCACGUGAAGGUGGGGACUCUGGCGAGACUGCCCAGAUCGACUGGGAGGAAGGUGGGGACGACGUCAGGUCAGUAUGGCCCUUAUGCCCAGGGCUGCACACGUACUACAAUGCCCAGUACAGAGGGGGCCGAAGCCGCGAGGCGGAGGAAAUCCUAAAAACUGGGCCCAGUUCGGACUGUAGGCUGCAACCCGCCUACACGAAGCCGGAAUCGCUAGUAAUGGCGCAUCAGCUACGGCGCCGUGAAUACGUUCCCGGGUCUUGUACACACCGCCCGUCACAUCAUGGAAGCCGGUCGCACCCGAAGUAUCUGAAGCCAACCGCAAGGAGGCAGGGUCCUAAGGUGAGACUGGUAACUGGGAUGAAGUCGUAACAAGGUAGCCGUAGGGGAACCUGCGGCUGGAUCACCUCCUU